AUGGACCCCCGCGCCGAGCUUCAGGCGGCGACGGAGCGAAAAGCGCGGGAGGCGCAGGAGGAGCGGGAGGCGGAGGAGUUGAGGGCGGCUGCCGCCAAGGCGGCACGGGAGGAGGAGGAGGAGGAGGCGGCGAAGGCGCGUGCCGACGCAGCGGCCAAGGCCCAAGCGGAGGCUGCGGCCGCGGCAACAACGGAGGGGGCCUUGCUCGUCACCCCUCUGCGUGUCGCGGCGCCCGAGGUCCCGGAACCCCCGCCGGAGGAAGCUGGCGGCGACCAGCCGGGGUUGGAGAGGGAGGACAACGUCGUCGUCCCGGAGAGGGAGGCGGCACCGGCCCCGCCGACUGGGGUGGCUCAAGGCAGCCGCCCUAACGUGCCGCCUACGCAAUCGGCUGGGGGCGAGCCGGCCGCGAGGACGGACCUGGUGGUCCAGUCGCCAUCGCGCUAG
rnacentral:rRNA from 1 species